GAAUAGCUCCGAUUAUGGUCGCCAUUGUGAGAAAUUGACGCAAAGUUCGAUUAUUUUGAAGCCAAGAGAACAAGUUGAAAGUGCAAGAAAGUGUUCCCUCCGAUACACGUCGACACUUGUUAACACUUGCAGCCUUCCAGUUGAUUGAUAACACACAGUACCUGUAACUGUCUCAAAGAUAAUUUUUCUGGACACAUGUCAAGCAGUUAGAAAGAUCCCAGUCACGUUAUGAAUAGUUACUACCCCACUGGCGCCAACAUCCUGCAGAACCCAUCAUCAAAUGAGAAACCGCAGAACACAUACGCACCAAGCAUGGCGUACACGCCUCAAGGAGGUCUACCACCAGGAGCAGGUCUAGCUGCUGGUAUACCCAGAGCUAGCAGCGCUACGUAUGGAUCAGUCCCUGCAAGUGUUGCCGGGUAUAGUACUACCGGUCAGGUGUUUGGUGCUGGACCCAGCCCAAUGGCCAGUGCCUAUCCCAGUAUGGCCAAUGGAUACCGACCCAUGACACAACCCCCUACGUCCCAGUAUGUCCCUGCCCAACCGUACCAGCCUCCCAGCUCUGUAUCGGCAGCAGCGUACCGCUCUGUGCAACCUCAAUAUGCAGCACCACGAUAUCCAGUUGCCCAAAUUCCAAGUCCAGGCUACCCCACAGGAGCUAUCCAACGUUCCCCAACCUAUCCAGCGAGCUCCUAUUUAGCGGCUCAUAGUCAGCACUCACUGAACAGUAGUUUAGCAUACCCAGGGACCUCGAUUCCUGGUUAUGGUAUGCCCGCUGGGGCCAGUUUCUACGCCGGCCCUCCGACUCCGAGUCAUCAUAUGUCACCACAUAUGUCAUAUGCAACCUCCGUGCCCACUGCGAGCCCGUAUCCAUCAGCUGUGCCAGGACAGCUUGGGACACCGAUGUAUCCAGGUACUAACCCUUACACCUUGCCAAGACCUUGAGGAUCCAAGUCUACUCAAGUGAAACUCAAGAAAAUCUUGGGAGUAACGUAUUGCUUCUGUUUGUACAAAUAAUUUAAAUCUACAUGAUAGAAGAAUUGAUACCCAUCUUGUAAUGCGAACUUAUUGUCUUCUGAAUGCAAGGGUAGGCUUUUGGUUUAGUAAUACAACUUAGAAUAUUCUUAGUUGAUUAUUGUUGGCAUAUUGUAUGAGAAAUGAAGUGCAAAAUUAGAAAUAUCAAUGAGCCUCUGCCUUGUGCAUUGUUUUUAUGUAUCAUUGAUUGACAGUAUUGGAUCUUGAGACAAUUUUGUUUUCUACCAACCUGGCUUUUCUUUAUUUUUUGUUACGUUUCCAUGUAUGGUUUUUAAAGUGCGAUGACCUCUCGAAGUCUUACCUCUUUAGGUAUAUUUAGUAGGAUAGAUGUAUAUUUUUCUACAUUUUUUAUUUCCAAGUUUGGCUCAACAGAGAAGGCACAAACUUACGAUUGUUGUUACCUAAACACAAUCAUACGUUGAGAACUCGAAUGUUUGUAACUUCUCAUACAGAAUGGCAUGACAUUUUUUUACACCUAACUACACAUGUAAAAUUAUUUAAGCCAUUGCCGAAAAAUAAAUUGACCUCUAUAUACCCGAGAUGGAAGGGGGCCAUUUAAAAAAAAAUGUGACAAGAAUGGAACUAGAAGGGAUUUUGACUUGGGCUUUAUACAUGUAACACAAUAAUCUUUGUCACCAGGUAUGAAACACUUUAGAAUAGAUGGCUUGUGGCCUAUUGGGUGGAAGUUAUUAUUAUCAGCAGUUCCCCAUCAUGAUAACAACAGGUCGAAUGUAAGUUUGAAGGAAUAAUUAGUUGCCCUUUCAUGACAUGUCAAUGAAUCUCUUAAAACAGCAAGAAGGAACUUUUUGAUCAGUCAGUUCAGGAGAGGAAUCUAGGUUCAUCUAUAGUGAAAACUAAAAAGAUACACUCUAUAUUCAAGCCUAUGAGGUCAGCUGGUUUUUGGAUUUGGCGGUUCAAGCUAGUACAGAAGGUCCAAAAAUAAUGGAAUGUUUUACCAACUUCGGUCUAAGUCUUGCAAGGGGUAAUGGUGGGGGAUAGCAUUUCAAGCAUGUACAUGUUAAACAGGGUUUUGUUCAGUUACAAGUCAAGUGUGUGACUGGCAUCAAAUGCAUUUAUGCAGGGGAGUGAAUUGAUCGGUGGUUUUAUACAAAUAUUCGUUUUCUAACAAAAAAGCUUUUUGCGGUUUUUGGCUUUGACGCUCUAUAGUAUUCAGAAGAACAUGUAAGUUAUUCACCUAUUAUAAAUAUAAUGCAAUUUUGGGACCACAUUUUUAUCGUUUUUUCAUUUACGACGCUUGGAUUUACACAUCACACAAAAUGCCUUGUACCAUUGGUUGUUUAUAACCGAUGUCUUAGAUUUAGCGCUGACUUGCCAUUUUAGUUUUAUAUGUGUACAUCGAGCUUUGUUUAUUUAAUUUUCAUGUCUUGGGUCUAAAAUAUGUAUUAAUGUAUACACACAUGUACAUGCAGCUUUUCAUUGAGAUCAAUUUCUGUGCUCUGUAAACAUGGGGACAUGUGACAAUCUAAUGUAUUGGUAAAGAAGUCUCUAUUACGUGUAAACAUCCAAAAGGUGAGAUUUUCUCUUGUUUUUUUUUUAAAUGACGCAGUAUGUUUGGUGGUUUGGUAACCAUCUCUUAAGUGCCGCUCAAACAAGGGAUUUAAAUUGGUGCUGCCUGCUAACCUGAUCACAUGCGACAAAAUCGCUAAUUUGCAACAGUCAUUGGAGGUGCCAGACCAGAGCAAAACUUUACCAGUUUUACCCGCAGACAAGAUAUUUUUUGUCGUACAUUUUGAAUCACAGGUUGCAGCAACGAAAAUUGCUUGUUUGAGUGUCACUUUAUAUUGCACCUAGGUUCCUCUCCUCGACUGGUCAUACGAAUUUGUCAUGUCGUCGUAGCCAAGCUCAUUAUUACAAGUCAUGACAUGGUCUUUUUGAUAAUAUUUAGUCUCAGCAGAAAGGAGACGUAAAGAGUAUUACCUGAUGAAACCAAGCGCUUUUUUUCACAAGUAUUUCCUUAUUUAGACACAAUGUGGUGAAAGGGUUAACCUGAAUAACCUUAUACAUGUACAUGUAGUCUUGCAUAAUUGCCAAACAUUCUAUAAACCUUAAUUUGUUUUUGUCUUUUGCGAAUUGACCUGUGUUCAUUGUGCUGUUGCAAUUUCUAACCUUGGCUUUGGUUGAAAAAGUCCAAUUUUUGGCGAAGACAUAUAGGAAUGAAAACAUAAUAUUUCAAUGAUUUGGAUCCUGGUUUGUUGUGAUGUUAGUUUUAUGACAAUGAGAAAUCAUGUGCCUAGAAUUCAGUGAAGUUAUUUCAUUGAUCACUGGUUUUGUAACCGAUAAAAUGUCCAACCCUAUCAUGUGUAUGUAAGUUAUUUUGAAUUGGAAUAGACAAAACCCAAGUUGUCAGACCCAGCCACGAUCUGCCCAAUUGUAGGAUGUUUUAGUUUUGUCUGUAGAUCAUCCUAUGAAUAGACCCAAUGGAUCCUGAAACUUGAAUCUGUGUACUGUAUGAUAGUUUAUGAUGUUGGUGCCAAAACUGGAGAAGGAGGACCCAUGUUAUUUUGGGAUGGUAAGCUGGUAAAUUUGGAAAACUGGAAUCUUGAACCAUGAUGAGUUAAAUUAUUGUCACAUGAAUUAUAUAUCGACAUUGGUCCUAUAAUUAGGGGGACCAGAAGAGCCAGCCUCGACUGUUUGAGGCCAAUGUCUGUUACUCAUGAAGUUGGCCUCCGUAUUCUGCCGUGGGUGGAAUGACGUCUCCAACAUUUGGAGGCAAUCGUAAGUUUUUAAAAUAUUUUUUGGCUGUCGAGUCACAUUGUUUGCAUAAUGGCUUUAGGCUCCAUUUAGAAUGUAGAUUGAGAAGAGAUGAUAUCAUGAGGAAAUCGACUAGGGUUGGUUGGGCUCUAAAGGUGCACUUAUCUUCGCAGCCCUGGUAAACUGUUUUGAAAGAUGACAUGUACAUUUUCCCCUAAAACCAAACUUGGCGGUUAAAAGAUUCAGUGGCACAAGUUUGCUUCACAGGAAAUUACUGCUAUAUAGUGUACUUUUUGCCGUAAUGUUUGAAAAUCAGUAACUUGAGUUCUUAAGGUAAACUAGAAAAUGAAGGGGUAUGAGAGAGGUUGUGAAAGUCGGUUUGAAUUCUCAAAUCUGUUGGGAGUAGUACUAGUAGUGUACAUUGUAGAUAAAAGACCGGGCUGAGAUUUGUAGAUAGUUAAGUAUUGUUGAGAAUACAAAAAAAAUACGAAAAAUAAAAAGGCCUGUUCCCAUUGGCAUUGUACUGAACCUGGAAAGACAUUUAUUCCCUCGUGACUCGAGUUAUCUCAGCAGCUGGAAGAGAAACCAAUUUAGCAGUUGUAUGUGUUGCGCUGUGAGGAGUUACUGUGACUGUUAUUCCUUCUGCCCUGACUAGAUCUUUACCUAUCUGUGUUCCGUGUUGUUUUGUGUGGCCUUUCCGAGGUGCAGCCUUAUUCUUUUGACUGUCUGUAAGCACUUUAUGACCUUGAUUAAAAUUUGUAGUCUCCCACUUGUGCUACAGGGCUUUUGGUUGGAUUACCGACUUUUAAGAGUUACAAGGUAAAUUUCAUGUACAGUACAACCUCUAUUAGGGACACCCUUGGACCAAGAACAGCUUGAGAGGUGUCCUAAUUACAUAGGUCUAAUUAAAUGAAAAUGACCCAAAGAAGUGACUUUAAUAGACAAUGUCUUGUUUACAGAGGUGUCCGCUAAGAGAUAUUCGAGUGUUCUUUUUUUGUUGUCAAUUAUGCAAUACUAAAAAUCUCCUCAGCUCUUUGUUUUGAAACUAUCCAUGUACCUUGUCAUUCAGCUAAGAGUUUUUGUGGGGCUUUCAUAUGUUUAGCAUUUUAUCGUAAAAUAUAUAAUUUUAGAUGCAUUGCUCCCUGUUUGUACGAUUUACAUUUAUGAAAGUUAUGGAAGGCCCUUAGAAACUGAUAUGACGUUGUUUGACUUGGGCGUAAAUCUUCGCUUGUCAUGAGGCUAAAAGUUUGGUGAGUUCAGCUUCAGGGGUCUGAACGUGAAUAUCAUUAUUUUCUAAUAAUUUAGUGAAAGUGAAAUAUUGCUAAAAUUUAGAGUCACGAAAAAUGGAGGGGUUUACAGUUUGAAGAAUCUGAUCAAAACCAUCUUGAGAAUGCAUUAUCUGUUCAAGACCUGCAGAGCUACCCUAUUGAUGUGUCUUUGUGUUUUUUGAUGCUGGUAUGCCAAUUGUCUGUGAUACAAUCGACUGUACAGUGUAUAUUUAAAGUCAUGUCAUACCCUUUUCACUGUUGAAUAAUUAUUUUGUUUAUUUUAGGAUAGCUUUGUGGCUUUUCUUGGCGGAUGUGAGAAAUACUCUAAACUCCCAACUAUUCGUGUCUCUUUAUUUUGGCGAUUCACAACAAUUUCCCAAAAACUGAAGGUCUCAAUUCACUGAUUUUUAUAGUUGUAUCAAUAUUGGGCAAGUCCACUGAACAGCAAUCGACAUGAACAUUCUGCAUUUUAUUACUGGACUAGUGCAAUGAAACUUGGCAAGCGUAAAACCCUUAUAAUAAGAUAUUAGAAACUGCAUGCUGCGCUAUAGUUGUGCUAGUUUAGAAACUGACAACCCACAGCAUCAAUCAACCCUUCACUUAGGCUCUUAUCUUUCUUUGAAAGAAAUGAAAGUCAUCAAAUUUUUAGUAGAGAAAAAUCAUGUGCUAAAACAGUGGUUAAUGGCAAAAUAAUGAAAUCAUGUCUUUAUCCAUCAAUAAUACAAGAUUCUUUUGGGGCAGGGGUCUUUCUUUGGAGAGCUUUCUUCACGUCCAUCAGUAUGAGGUAGGGAGAAAGAACAAUACCCUUCUUGACAGAGGGUUAACACUCUGUUAAGCACCAGUUGCCAUUUGUUUCUGCUUCCCAAGAAAACCAUUCAAAAGUGUGUCCGAGUCGACAGCAGCAGGUUCGUACCAAGAGCAUUGUGUUGGUUCAUGGGUGUAUAGAUAGAUGGCAACACUGGUUACCAAGGGCUUUGGGUGCAAGGAAAAAUCAUGCAGCAAGUCAGAACAGCAAGUCAAGCGGUCUGAAGUAGUUGCAAGCUUUUUCUUUUGGAGGGUAAAAGCUAUUUGUCACAAUGGAUUUUAGGCAAUGUUGCAUGUGAUGAUUCAAUAUCGAAAGUGUCUCAAUUGGUGUCUUUUUGCCACACACUAUUGAAUUUAAGAUCUGGUCUCUUAUGUACUACAAUUUUGUACCUUUACACACGUUCAUUCUAUAAGCUUACAGGACAUUUUGUCAUUUUGGUAGCAAGCAAUUUGUUAUAUCUUUUGACAAUCAGUUCAUAAUGUGUUCAUUUUGUUCCUUGUGUUUUAUUCAAAUGUUAUUCAUCUCUGUUCUGUAGCAUGUUGAUUUUGCCUUUUGUUGAUAGCAAGCCAAAAUGAAAUUGAAAAGAAAUCAAUUGGGGAUGGUGUGCUACAUGUUUAUUUUGAAAAGACAUCGUAAAAAAAGGGCCACUCCCUCCCUACUUAUCAUAUUUUACAGUGGUUCUAAUUGUGCAGGGUCCCAUACGUUGCCUGUUGGCCAUAGUGAGCUCAUUUCCGGUAAAAAAUCAUUUACAUUGUUUUUUUCUGUCACUGUGACGUUCCAAGGAAAUUGUGAGGCCAAAGGAGAAGCUACUGUAGAUCUUUAAGAUUUGUUUCUGCUCUUACAACUUUGCAGACACUUUCAUAGAAUUUGUAGGUCUGAAUGAUGCAGCAAUUGCCUGAAAUAUUUUGCACUUUUUGCAGCGGCACUUGUAUUGUGAACGAAGAAAUAGUGCUAUGACGGCUAUCGUUUCGACAUAUAGUAAAUCGUCAGUGUUAGGAAUACCCGCAUUCAUUGUUCGUACCUCCCAAGCCUUUCUGCUUGUACCUCAUUGUACCCUGUUUUGAAAAUAUUAAAAGUAACAAAAGGGCAGUUUCUUAAAUGUAAUAUUAGGUUUCAGAAAAAACUCAACAAGAGCUCUGAGUGUUGCAUCAAAAAUAGUAUCGUUUCGAAUAUCACACCAGUCGAACGCAAUUUAUAAUGCAAGUCAUUGUCAAGCUAUUGUGACUUUGACUUAAGUCUUGUCUUGGGAAAUAAAAGCCAUUUUUCAA